rnacentral:rRNA from 1 species
UACGUAGGGGGCAAGCGUUGUCCGGAAUCAUUGGGCGUAAAGAGCGUGUAGGCGGCUGGGUAGGUCUGCUGUGAAAACUCGAGGCUCAACCUCGAGACGUCGGCGGAAACCCUCCAGCUAGAGUCCGGAAGAGGAGAGUGGAAUUCACGGUGUAGCAGUGAAAUGCGUAGAUAUCGUGAGGAAGACCAGUGGCGAAGGCGGAUCUCUGGACAGCUCCUGACGCUGAGGCGCGAAAGCUAGGGGAGCAAACGGG